UACGUAGGGGGCUAGCGUUGUCCGGAAUCAUUGGGCGUAAAGCGCGUGUAGGCGGCCCGGUAAGUCCGCUGUGAAAGUCGGGGGCUCAACCCUCGGAUGCCGGUGGAUACUGUCGGGCUCGAGUACGGAAGAGGCGAGUGGAAUUCUUGGUGUAGCGGUGAAAUGCGCAGAUAUCAGGAGGAACACCAAUUGCGAAGGCAGCUCGCUGGGACGUAACUGACGCUGAGACGCGAAAGCGUGGGGAGCAAACAGG
rnacentral:rRNA from 1 species